CUGUUACUAAUGUUCACCAAUAUUCGUGUUCACUAAUUUAGGUCCUAUUGUGAAACUUCAGAUGAUGAGAUCUGUUUAAAAGAUAGGGGAAGAUGGGAAGAACAUCCCUCCCUCCUGUGCCUUAUUUGAACAAAAGGAGAACCAUUCAGAGGAGUCAUUCCAAGGAGAAGCAUCACAUCCAGCACAUCCCAGCACAGCAUGCAGAGGGGAUGUAGACAACAUGGGCAAGUGGAUGACACGUGCAUCAUGCCAGUCCUCUUUCUCCUCUCCACUAGGUCAACUGCUUGCAGCAAUAUGACCACAGAUUAUUAACUUUUUUUUUGUGGUUAGGAGGAUGUAAUCUCCUGGUGGGGAGGAGGUCAGGCAGAUUUCACUGGGGUAAUGGACUGUCACUUAGACACAGGAAACUAUUAAGAACAUGGUAGUCUUUUCAAACUUUAGGUUACUCUCUGGUAAAUAAACCAUGAAUCCUUCAUUUUAAGUCAGACUGUAAUAAACUUUUAAAGAAAUUCACUAAUUUAUAUUUUUGAAAGAGACUUUGUAAAAUCUUAAGUAAUUAUUUAACCAUUUAAAAUCCUAACCUGUUUUUUCAGGGAUGAAAGCAUGGCUGCUUCCUCCAGCUCUGGGUUGUUGGUGCCAGUGUAGUUUCUGAUACAGCAGAGAGUGCUGUCACACCUAAUGAUUGUAACUCAUGUUCCACUCAACCUACAUCAACCCGUAAAUUUGCUGUGUGAAGCGCAGUGAGAGGGGUCAUGCCCACCCAGUGACUGCUCCUCCAGAGGUUUUCCCUCCUGCCCAUUGCCUGAUAUUGCCUGAAAACAAAGCAAAACAAAAUUAUGACAUUUGCUCCCAGGUCGGGUAUCUGUACAAGGAUGAAUCAGUAUAAAGAGAACAGAACUCUGCAGGGAAUCUUUCUUAGCUCAUACCAGAAGAAAACUUCAGCUAAUCCUCAUUCAGCAGUGUUGUCAGGAAGAUAGCUGCCUACAGCCCUACAGCACAAAGAAGUAGGUAACAAUUUUCUGCUCCAGGUAUAUUUUGUAUUUCCAUCAUUAUUACUAUUAUUAAUUAUUGUUAUUGUCAUUAUUGCAUCUGUGAGGUAUUCUAGCCC
rnacentral:lncRNA from 1 species